rnacentral:rRNA from 1 species
AUUGAACGCUGGCGGCAGGCCUAACACAUGCAAGUCGAACGGUAACAGGAAGACGCUUGCUUCUUUGCUGACGAGUGGCGGACGGGUGAGGAAUGUCUGGGAAACUGCCUGAUGGAGGGGGAUGACUACUGGAAACGGUAGCUAAUACCGCAUAACGUCUCAAGACCAAAGUGGGGGGCCUUCUGGCCUCUUGCCAUCGGAUGUGCCCAGUUGGGCUUACCUUGUUGGUGGGAUAACGGCUCACCAAGCCGACGACCCCUAGCUGGUCUGAGAGGAGGACCAGCCACACGGGAACUGAGACACGGUCCAGACUCCUACGGGAGGCAGCAGUGGGGAUUAUUGCACAUUGGGCGCAAGCCUGAUGCAGCCAUGCCGCGUGUAUGAAGAAGUCCUUCGGGUUGUAAAGUACUUUCAGCGGGGAGGAAGGGAGUAAAGUUAAUACCUUCGCUCAUUGACGUUACCCGCAGAAGAAGCACCGGCUAACUCCGUG